CUUCCCGCUGGCGGCGUGCCUAAUACAUGCAAGUCGAGCGAACAGACGAGGAGCUUGCUCCUCUGACGUUAGCGGCGGACGGGUGAGUAACACGUGGAUAACCUACCUAUAAGACUGGGAUAACUUCGGGAAACCGGAGCUAAUACCGGAUAAUAUAUUGAACCGCAUGGUUCAAUAGUGAAAGACGGUUUUGCUGUCACUUAUAGAUGGAUCCGCGCCGCAUUAGCUAGUUGGUAAGGUAACGGCUUACCAAGGCGACGAUGCGUAGCCGACCUGAGAGGGUGAUCGGCCACACUGGAACUGAGACACGGUCCAGACUCCUACGGGAGGCAGCAGUAGGGAAUCUUCCGCAAUGGGCGAAAGCCUGACGGAGCAACGCCGCGUGAGUGAUGAAGGUCUUCGGAUCGUAAAACUCUGUUAUUAGGGAAGAACAAAUGUGUAAGUAACUAUGCACGUCUUGACGGUACCUAAUCAGAAAGCCACGGCUAACUACGUG
rnacentral:rRNA from 1 species